rnacentral:rRNA from 1 species
CUCGAGUUUAACAGAUUCAGGUCUUUGGUUCGGCCGAACUUAACACAGGCACUGCAAGGCUGUGGUCAGCUCGUGUCGUGAGAUUAUCGGAUCAUUCCCGCACCGAGCGCAACCCUCACCAUUAGGCGCCAUCGUUUAGUCGGGCCGUCCGAAAAACUUUCCUGUGAUAAAGUGGAGGAAGGUGGGGAAAGCGUCAAGUCGUCAUGGCCCGUAUGUGUUGGUUAACCCACGUGCUCCAAUGGUAUUUCCGGCCGCAGGCAAAUCUUGUAAGUUUAGCCCAUCCGUUAGAGAUCCCCCAGCGGGGAGUGCAUUGCGCAACUUGAGUGCAUGAAGCUGGAUUUCCUAGUUAUCGCGCACCUGCGUGCCGCCGUGAAUGCGUUCCGGGGUUUUGUAUACUCCGCCCGCCACCCCAUGGUAGUCGGUUUCACUAUAAGUCAAGGUUUAAGCCCUUUCACCACGGAAUAGUC